AUUGAACGCUGGCGGCAGGCUUAACACAUGCAAGUCGAGCGGAGAUGAGGUGCUUGCAUCUUAUCUUAGCGGCGGACGGGUGAGUAAUGCUUAGGAAUCUGCCUAUUAGUGGGGGACAACAUUCCGAAAGGAAUGCUAAUACCGCAUACGUCCUACGGGAGAAAGCGGGGGAUCUUCGGACCUUGCGCUAAUACAUGAGCCUAAGUCGGAUUAGCUAGUUGGGGGGGUAAAGGCCUACCAAGGCGACGAUCUGUAGCGGGUCUGAGAGGAUGAUCCGCCACACUGGGACUGAGACACGGCGCAGACUGCUACGGGAGACAGCAGUGGGGAAUAUUGGACAAUGGGGGGAACCCUGAUCCAGCCAUGCCGCGUGUGUGAAGAAGGCCUUAUGGUUGUAAAGCACUUUAAGCGAGGAGGAGGCUACUGAGACUAAUACUCUUGGAUAGUGGACGUUACUCGCAGAAUAAGCACCGGCUAACUCUGUGCCAGCCGCCGCCGUAACAC
rnacentral:rRNA from 1 species